rnacentral:rRNA from 1 species
UACGGAGGGUGCAAGCGUUAUCCGGAUUCACUGGGUUUAAAGGGUGCGUAGGUGGGUUGGUAAGUCAGUGGUGAAAUCUCCAGGCUUAACUUGGAAACUGCCAUUGAUACUAUCAAUCUUGAAUACCGUGGAGGUCAGCGGAAUAUGUCAUGUAGCGGUGAAAUGCUUAGAUAUGACAUAGAACACCAAUUGCGAAGGCGGCUCACUACACAAUCAUUGACUCUGAGGCACGAAAGCGUGGGGAUCAAACAGG